CUUCCCCUGGCCUUAAAAACAGAGUCCUCUGUUCUCUUGUCUGCAUAAUAAACUCACUGCUAUAAUAAAGCGCGUAGAUAGAGAUUAGAGAGAGUACACUAUGACUAUGUUUCAUGACUGAGAAAAUAGGGCCCUACAAAUACAUUUCUUACCAAACCAAAACAAAACUUACAAAGGGUACCCUUUCAUUCUAGUUCUACUACUA
rnacentral:lncRNA from 1 species